GACGAACGCUGGCGGCGUGCUUAACACAUGCAAGUCGAACGGAAAGGCCCUGCUUUUGUGGGGUGCUCGAGUGGCGAACGGGUGAGUAACACGUGAGUAACCUGCCCUUGACUUUGGGAUAACUUCAGGAAACUGGGGCUAAUACCGGAUAGGAGCUCCUGCUGCAUGGUGGGGGUUGGAAAGUUUCGGCGGUUGGGGAUGGACUCGCGGCUUAUCAGCUUGUUGGUGGGGUAGUGGCUUACCAAGGCUUUGACGGGUAGCCGGCCUGAGAGGGUGACCGGCGACAUUGGGACUGAGAUACGGACCAGACUCCUACGGGAGGCAGCAGUGGGGAAUAUUGCACAAUGGGCGGAAGCCUGAUGAAGCAACGCCGCGGGCGGGAUGACGGCCUUCGGGUUGUAAACCGCUUUCGCCUGUGACGAAGCGUGAGUGACGGUAAUGGGUAAAGAAGCACCGGCUAACUACGUG
rnacentral:rRNA from 1 species